rnacentral:rRNA from 1 species
GAUGAACGCUGGCGGCGUGCUUAACACAUGCAAGUCGAACGAAGCACUUUGAUCGAUUUCUUCGGAUUGAAAUUUUAGUGACUGAGUGGCGGACGGGUGAGUAACGCGUGGGUAACCUGCCUCACACAGGGGGAUAACAGUUGGAAACGGCUGCUAAUACCGCAUAAGCGCACAGUACCGCAUGGUACGGUGUGAAAAACUCCGGUGGUGUGAGAUGGACCCGCGUCUGAUUAGCUAGUUGGCAGGGCAACGGCCUACCAAGGCGACGAUCAGUAGCCGGCCUGAGAGGGUGACCGGCCACAUUGGGACUGAGCUACGGCCCAAACUCCUACGGGAGGCAGCAGUGGGGAAUAUUGCACAAUGGGGGAAACCCUGAUGCAGCGACGCCGCGUGAGCGAAGAAGUAUUUCGGUAUGUAAAGCUCUAUCAGCAGGGAAGAAGAAAUGACGGUACCUGACUAAGAAGCACCGGCUAAAUACGUGCCAGCCGCCGCCGUAA